UAAGACGAACCGUGCGAACGUUGUUCGGAAUCACUGGGCUUAAAGGGCGCGUAGGCGGGCUGUCAAGUCUGGGGUGAAAUGCCGCGGCUCAACCGUGGAACUGCCUUAGAUACUGACGGCCUCGAGGGAGGUAGGGGCGUGCGGAACUGUAGGUGGAGCGGUGAAAUGCGUUGAUAUCUACAGGAACUCCGGUGGCGAAAGCGGCGCGCUGGACCUCUUCUGACGCUGAGGCGCGAAAGCUAGGGGAGCAAACGGGAUUAGAUACCCCGGUAGUCCUAGCCCUAAACGAUGGGUACUAGGUAGUAGACUAGACAUGGGUUUACUGCCGAAGCUAAAGUGCUAAGUACCCCGCCUGGGGAGUAUGGUCGCAAGGCUG
rnacentral:rRNA from 1 species